UCGGUAAUUCCAGCUCCAAUAGCGUAUAUUAAAGUUGUUGCAGUUAAAAAGCUCGUAGUUGGAUUUGUGAUGGAAUCUGAAUGACUUUAGGGUUAUUUGGACACCGUCAUCUUUAGGUGGAAUUUGUUUGGCAUUAGGUUGUCAGAUAAAGGAUGCCUAUCCUUUACUGUGAAAAAAUCAGUGCGUUCAAAGCAGGCUUAUGCCGUUGAAUGUAUUAGCAUGGAAUAAUAAGAUAGGACCUUUGUACUAUUUUGUUGGUUUGUGUACUCAGGUAAUGAUUAAAAGGAACAGUUGGGGGUAUUUGUAUUCCAUUGUCAGAGGUGAAAUUCUUGGAUUUUUGGAAGACAAACUACUGCGAAAGCAUUUACCAAGGAUGUUUUCAUUAAUCAAGAACGAAAGUUAGGGGAUCGAAGAUGAUUAGAUACCAUCGUAGUCUUAACCAUAAACUAUGCCAACAAGGGAUUGGUGGGGUUUCGUAAUGUCCCCAUCAGCACCUUAAGAGAAAUCAAAGUUUUUGGGUUCCGGGGGGAGUAUGGUCGCAAGGCUGAAACUUAAAGAAAUUGACGG
rnacentral:rRNA from 1 species